AUUGAACGCUGGCGGCAGGCCUAACACAUGCAAGUCGAACGGUAACAGGAAGAAGCUUGCUUCUUUGCUGACGAGUGGCGGACGGGUGAGUAAUGUCUGGGAAACUGCCUGAUGGAGGGGGAUAACUACUGGAAACGGUAGCUAAUACCGCAUAACGUCUCAAGACCAAAAAGGGGGACCUUCGGGCCUCUUGCCCUCGGAUGUGCCCCGAUGGGAUUAGCUAGUAGGUGGGGUAACGGCUCACCUAGGCGACGAUCCCUAGCUGGUCUGAGAGGAUGACCAGCCACACUAGAACUGAGACACGGUCCAGACUCAUACGGGAGGCAGCAGUGGGGAAUAGUGCACAAUGGGCGCAAGCCUGAUGCAGCCAUGCCGCGUGUAUGAAGAAGGCCUUCGGGUUGUAAAGUACUUUCAGAGGGGAGGAAGGGAGUAAAGUUAAUAACUUUGCUCAUUGACGUUACCAGCAGAAGAAGAACCGGAUAACUCCGUG
rnacentral:rRNA from 1 species